UACGAGGGGGGCAAAUGUUGUUCGGAAUCACUGGGCGUAAAGGGUGCGUAGGCGGGUCUUUUAAGUCAGGGGUGAAAUCCUGGAGCUCAACUCCAGAACUGCCUUUGAUACUGAGGAUCUUGAGUUCGGGAGAGGUGAGUGGAACUGCGAGUGUAGAGGUGAAAUUCGUAGAUAUUCGCAAGAACACCAGUGGCGAAGGCGGCUCACUGGCCCGAUACUGACGCUGAGGCACGAAAAGCGUGGGGAGCGAACAGG
rnacentral:rRNA from 1 species